rnacentral:rRNA from 1 species
CUAGUAACUGCGAGUGAAGAGGGAAAAGCUCAAAUUUAAAAUCUGGCAGUCUUUGAUUGUCCGAGUUGUAAUUUAGAGAAGUGUUACCCGUGUUGGACUGUGUAUAAGUUUCCUGGAAUGGAGCGUCAUAGAGGGUGAGAAUCCCGUCUUUGACACAGAUCCCAAUGCAUUGUGGUACGCUCUCAAAGAGUCGAGUUGUUUGGGAAUGCAGCUCUAAAUGGGUGGUAAAUUCCAUCUAAAGCUAAAUAUUGGGGAGAGACCGAUAGCGAACAAGUACCGUGAGGGAAAGAUGAAAAGAACUUUGGAAAGAGAGUUAAACAGUACGUGAAAUUGCUGAAAGGGAAACGCUUGAAGUCAGUCGCGUUGGUCAGGGAUCAGCCUUCCUUUUGGUUGGUGUAUUUCUUGAUUAACGGGUCAACAUCAGUUUUGAUCAGUGGAUAAAAGCUUGAGGAAUGUGGCAUCUCCGGGUGUGUUAUAGCCUCUUGUUGUAUACAUUGAUUGGGACUGAGGAUCUCAGCACGCCGCAAGGCCGGGUUUUUAACCACGUUCGUGCUUAGGAUGUUGGCAUAAUGGCUUUAAUCGACCCGUCUUGAAACACGGACCAAGGAGUCUAACAUGCCUGCGAGUGUUUGGGUGGAAAACCCGAGCGCGUAAUGAAAGUGAAAAUUAGGAUCUCUGUCGUGGAGAGCACUGAUGCCCGGCCCAGAUCUUCUGUGACGGUGCCGCGGUUGAGCAUGUAUGUUGGGACCCGAAAGAUGGUGAACUAUGCCUGAAUAGGGUGAAGCCAGAGGAAACUCUGGUGGAGGCUCGUAGCGAUUCUGACGUGCAAAUCGAUCGUCGAAUUUGGGUAUAGGGCGAAAGACUAAUC